CAGGCGAAGCGUCCACGGGUGGCGGGGCCCGUGGACGGCGGCGACCCGGAUCCUGUGGCCUGCUUCCUGAGCUGGUGCCGGCGGGUGGGGCUGGAGCUGAGUCCCAAGGUGAGCGAGCGAGCCGGCGGGCGGAGGACCCGCGGCGGGGCGCGGGCUGCCCUGACCAGCCCUCCUCCUGCUCAGGUGGCGGUCAGCCGGCAGGGCACGGUGGCCGGCUACGGCAUGGUGGCCCGGGAGAGCGUGCAGGCCGGAGAGCUGCUGUUCGUGGUGCCGCGGGCCGCGCUCCUGUCGCAGCACACCUGCUCCAUCCGCGGCCUGCUGGAGCGAGAGCGAGUUGCGCUGCAGAGCCAGUCGGGCUGGGUGCCACUGCUGCUGGCGCUGCUCCACGAGCUGCAGGCCCCGGCCUCACGCUGGAGGCCCUACUUUGCGCUCUGGCCCGAGCUGGGCCGCUUGGAGCACCCGAUGUUCUGGCCAGAGGAGGAGCGCCGGUGCCUGCUCCAGGGCACAGGCGUACCUGAGGCCGUGGAGAAGGAUUUGGCCAACAUCCGCAGCGAGUACCAGUCCAUCGUGCUGCCCUUCAUGGAAGCCCACCCCGAUCUCUUCAGCCUCAGGGUUCGCUCCCUAGAACUCUACCACCAGCUGGUGGCCCUUGUGAUGGCCUAUAGCUUUCAGGAACCACUGGAGGAAGAAGAGGAUGAAAAGGAGCCCAACUCCCCCGUGAUGGUGCCUGCUGCAGACAUACUAAACCACUUAGCCAAUCACAACGCCAAUCUAGAAUACUCUGCGAUGACACAGCUGACAUUCAGAUGGUGACAGUUCGUGAGGCAGCAUUACAGGGAACAAAAACUGAAGCUGAAAGGCUCCUAGUGUACGAGCGCUGGGAUUUCCUAUGCAAACUGGAGAU
rnacentral:sRNA from 1 species